rnacentral:lncRNA from 1 species
CUCCUGGGCUCCACAGCAGGUUCCCACUGGCCGUCUAUUUCACGCGCGGUCGGGUAUAUAUGUCAGCCCUACUCUCUCAGUCUGGCCCAGCCUCUUCUUCCCUCCGUGUGUCCACAAGUCUGUUUUCUGCGUCUGCAUCUCCGUUGCUCCCUGCAAAUAGGUUCCUCGGUACCAUUUUUCUAGAUUCCACAUAUAUGCGUUAAUACAUGACAUUUUUCUCUUUUGGACUUACUUCACUCUGCAUGACAGAAUCUGGGUUCAUCCACAUCUCUAUAAAUGACGCGCUUUCGUUCCUUUCUAUUGGUCCCACUUUCUAGUGGGAAGAGUGUCCAAGAGCUUUGGAAUGGCCGCUCUUCUCCACUGGUCUCCCCCGCUCCAGACCUGCUUCAGCACAGUGCACUAACUUCCCCCUUCUCUGCAUCACUCCUGUGCUGAGAACUCCUCAAGGUGCUCUGUUACCCUUUGCCUUCCUCUUAACUUGGUUACUUCAUGAUGUUGUCCUAGCCUGCUUCUCAAGAUCAGUGAAGUCGUUUUUCCUCUAUGAUCUAUUUCAGGAUAAAGAAAGAAAGAAAGUGAAGUCACUCAGUUGUGUCCAACUCUUUGCGACCCCAUGGACUGUAUCCCACCAGGCUCCUCCGUCCGUGGGAUUCUCCAGGCAAGAAUACUGGGGUGGGUUGCCAUUUCCUUCUCCAGGAGAUCUUCCUGAUCCAGGGAUGGAACCCAGGUCUCCGGUGCUGUAGGCAUACGCCUUACUGUCUGAGCCACCAGGGAAGUCCAACAUUAAAAAACAUUCCAGAAUAAAGUCAACAUUAAAAAAUUCCCCAUGGUAUGUAUGUAUGUACUUUUAUUGAGGCAUAGGUGAUGUCCAGUAUUAUAUGUUCAAGUGUGCAACAUAGGGACUCACAAUGUAAAGGCUGUAUUUCAUUUAUAGUUUUUAUAAAACACUGGGCAUGUUUCUUGUGCUAUAUCCUAUAGAGAUAAAUAAGCUGUC